rnacentral:rRNA from 1 species
UUUACUACAGUUUGAUAUUGGUGUUCGGUUCGGCUUGUGUAGGAUAGGUGGGAGACUGUGAAGCGGCCACGCCAGUGGUUGUGGAGUCGUUGUUGAAAUACCACUCUGGUCGUGCUGGAUGUCUAACCCGGGUCCGUGAUCCGGAUCGGGGACAGUGUCUGAUGGGUAGUUUAACUGGGGCGGUUGCCUCCUAAAGAGUAACGGAGGCGCCCAAAGGUUCCCUCAGCCUGGUUGGUAAUCAGGUGUUGAGUGUAAGUGCACAAGGGAGCUUGACUGUGAGACCGACGGGUCGAGCAGGGACGAAAGUCGGGACUAGUGAUCCGGCGGUGGCUUGUGGAAGCGCCGUCGCUCAACGGAUAAAAGGUACCCCGGGGAUAACAGGCUGAUCUUCCCCAAGAGUCCAUAUCGACGGGAUGGUUUGGCACCUCGAUGUCGGCUCGUCGCAUCCUGGGGCUGGAGUCGGUCCCAAGGGUUGGGCUGUUCGCCCAUUAAAGCGGUACGCGAGCUGGGUUUAGAAACGUCGUGAGAACAGUUCGGUCCCUAUUCGCUGUGCGCGUAGGAAUUAUGAGAAGGGCUGUCCCUAGUACGAGAGGACCGGGACGGACGAACCUCUGGUGUGCCAGUUGUUCUGCCAAGGGCAUGGCUGGUUGGCUACGUUCGGGAGGGAUAACCGCUGAAAGCAUCUAAGCGGGAAGCCUGCUUCGAGAUGAGUGUUCCCACCUCCUUUGAGAGGGUAAGGCUCCCAGUAGACGACUGGGUUGAUAGGCCGGAUAUGGAAGCCCUGUGAGGGGUGGAGUUGACCGGUACUAAUAGGCCGAGGGCUUGUCCUC